UAACACUAGGGGACCCCCAGCGAUCUCUACCACCCCUCAUGGAAGCCCUGAAAGCAUUCGGCGACAUCUCACAUUAUCGCCUGAAUCAAGAUAAAACCCAGGCCCUCCCUGUCGGACUCCCCCUAGCCACCAAAACAAUACUGAAAGAUAACUACCUCUUUGACUGGAGAAAGACGUCACUAACCUAUCUAGGCGUAAAAAUCGCACCAUCAAUAGAAGAAAUCCUGAAACUAAAUUAUCUCACGCUCCC